GACGAACGCUGGCGGCGUGCCUAAUACAUGCCAGUAGAACGCUGAAGCGAGGAGCUUGCUCUUCUUGGAUGAGUUGCGAACGGGUGAGUAACGCGUAGGUAACCUGCCUUGUAGCGGGGGAUAACUAUUGGAAACGAUAGCUAAUACCGCAUAACAAUGGAUGACACAUGUCAUUUAUUUGAAAGGGGCAAUUGCUCCACUACAAGAUGGACCUGCGUUGUAUUAGCUAGUAGGUGAGGUAAUGGCUCACCUAGGCGACGAUACAUAGCCGACCUGAGAGGGUGAUCGGCCACCCUUGGACUGAGGCACGGCCCAGACUCCUACGGGAGGCAGCAGUAGGGAAUCUUCGGGAAUGGGGGCAACCCUGACCGGGCAACGGCGCGGGAGGGAAGAAGGGUUUCGGAACGUAAAGAUCUGUUGUAAGUCAAGAAAGGGUGUGAGAGUGGAAAGUGCACACUGUGACGGUAGCUUACCAGAAAGGGACGGCUAACUACGUG
rnacentral:rRNA from 1 species